GACGAACGCUGGCGGCGUGCCUAAUACAUGCAAGUCGAGCGAACAGACGAGGAGCUUGCUCCUCUGACGUUAGCGGCGGACGGGUGAGUAACACGUGGAUAACCUACCUAUAAGACUGGGAUAACUUCGGGAAACCGGAGCUAAUACCGGAUAAUAUAUUGAACCGCAUGGUUCAAUAGUGAAAGACGGUUUUGCUGUCACUUAUAGAUGGAUCCGCGCCGCAUUAGCUAGUUGGUAAGGUAACGGCUUACCAAGGCAACGAUGCGUAGCCGACCUGUGAGGGUGAGCGGCCACACUGGAACUGAGACACGGUCCAGACUCCUACGGGAGGCAGCAGUAGGGAAUCUUCCGCAAUGGGCGAAAGCCUGACGGAGCAACGCCGCGUGAGUGAUGAAGGUCUUCGGAUCGUAAAACUCUGUUAUUAGGGAAGAACAAAUGUGUAAGUAACUAUGCACGUCUUGACGGUACCUAAGCAGAAAGCCACGGCUAACUACGUGCCAGCCGCCGCAGUAA
rnacentral:rRNA from 1 species